ACGCAUUCAGAAUGUAGCCGAGAGGUUUGUUUGUUCCUGGGGAGGGAGCUCUUUCUACCCUAGGCAGAAGCAGCCAGCCUUCCUAAAUACCCCGGGGCAGGAAUUCCAGGAGCAGCUUCCCACCUCUGGACCUCCCAGAUGCAUUUAGAAGAAACUGAACAGUAUUUCACUGCUGAACUCUGAAGGACCAAAAGAAUCCCCACUAAUACUGCCUUGAAGAAGGAUUUGAGGAACGCCUCCCGGAGAAUGUCUGACUAAAGCUUAGAGACAGUGUCUGCUUGUGUGCUUCCGCAGAAUGGUUUCCUCUCCCGAAGUCAGACACUCAGUACACGAUGGAAAUCAGCUUCUAGAAAUACAAAUGUUACCUCAAAUAUAAAAACCCAGCAGCAGAACAGCUCUUGGCUAAAUGAAGACGUCCUGAGGGCAGAGGACUGGGUUAUUUGCCCCAUGCCCUGACAACUGGAAGAGAAUUUUGCACGUUUGUGCAUUUCCGCUUAGUGAAUUCAUGUGUUUCUACCCCCUCCUCACGCGCAUUGGAAAUAAUGAAGAAGUACAUUUUGCUAACUCAUUCUAUAAACCAGCCACGAUAUUGAAGCACUCUCAGAGCCCCACUCAGCUUCUUAAAGCCCCGAGGGUGUGGGCUGCCCGGCUCUGGAUCAAGAGGACUUGUUCUCAUAGAUUAAAUAGUUUGCUCUAGGGCACCCAUGUUCUUUUUUUGCUGUGAUCAUGAUUUAAACCUAAUGUCUCCAAAAUGUUUUUUAUCUAUUGUAUCACAAUCCCCUUAAUGUAGCUCGCCAAGGAGCAGAAGCCUGUCCUGGGUGGUAAGCCCCCACUAUCCAUAAAACUAACCAGCUUUUCCCCUUCUCAUGUCUUUCUGCCCCUCUCAGAAACCCACCAAAGCACUCAAACCCACCCCUUGUGCAACAGUCUAUUUCCCAGCUAACCUGAGCAUGCGUCUAGCCUACUUACUCUUGGUCCCCAAAGGAGAGGGUCUUUAUGAAUUAGAUUCCUCACUUUAGUAAUAGGUACUAUACAGGGCAUAUGAUUCAGAGUGCCCUCUGUGAUGGCCUGGACAUCCCUCCUGGGAAUGUCUUAGUGACCAAAUAGAAAAAAACCAGCUUACCUCAGAGAGCCCAGAUCAUAUUUUUGAGUAAGGCUCAAAAGCACCAGGAUGGAUAUCGCCAUCUCUAUCAAAAUUAGGUCCACAUGACUCAUAGCGAUGAAUAGGUGAAAAGUACCCAAAUAUUGACCAGCCAAGAGAAAGACAAAAUAUAUCCAUGCAAUUAUUAUUUAGAAUAUCGUUUGGUCAUACGAAGAACUGAAGUUAAUUUACUAUUUCAAACUCUCUGGGUGAAAGAACUUUUGAAGUAGGUGGCACUGUUUUAUUCAUUAUGAAAAUGAUUCCCCUGGCAUCUAAUUAGAAUCUGAUAGCCUAGUGGCCUUUCCAUUUUGACCUGUAAGCCCCCGGGUUUUCUAGGCUCUUUUGUUUUUCCAGCAUCCUCUGCAGUCAUUACCUCAUCUUAUCUCUGAUUGAAAGCCGUUUCCCUCCCCUGCUUCUAUACCUUUGAAUCUUCUCCUUUUGUUCCCAACAUUUUUAUGAUUGGGACAUUUAAAGUUAUUUUAUCUUAAUUAAUUUACUAUCCAACAGUUUCAUACCUGUAUAUGAUACAUUCUGCAUACACUUCCUCACAUACACUCUUUAUUAUCCACCCUCCCCAACACCUCAAUUUUUAAAUUUGUUUGUUCAUUUUCUUUUGUUUGCUUUUUUACCCACUAGAUUUCUGCCAGGGACACUUGCGUGGACAUGGAUGGGAGUCUAUCUGCAGUAGCAUAAGUAGCUCAUCAGGGGUUAUAGAUGGCUUUCUACACACUCCCAACAGUCCUUGACUGCCAUUAACUAUGCUGAGUGAGGUGAGGCCCGGUGAGGCCCUCCCAUCUAUGAUUGAGCGUUCACACAACCCCUGUGAGUUUAUGAGCGUCACGUUACUCUCUUAAGACAGUGUCUCACCAUCCUCUUCUCUAUCACCCACCUCUUAGAUUCUUUCUGUCCACUGUGCUGUGAUGUCCUCUGAGCUUUCAGCAUGUGAUUAUGGGUGUUCUACUUAAGUCUCAGUGCUCAGUAGUCACUUGCGCUAAGCACCUUGACUAUCCUCAAGUCUCCAUAGUAACUGUAUUCACUACAGUGAUGAGCUUCCUUGACUAAGGCUGAGGAUAAGACUAAACUAUGGUUAUAAACAUAAAUAGCUAAAAAGCAGUUUGGUAACAAAUUAAUUCAUGGGCUUUUGGCCAGAGCAAUGGCAUUCCUCCCUUAGAGCAGAUCUCAGAUCCAAUUAGGAAUCAGUUGGUUGGCUGCACCCCUAGUCAGCUGCAACACUCAGGGGAUUGGGCCCUACACCUUGCCAGGGCAGCACACUAGAACUGGCCCUGGUGGCGUGAAUAUGGCUGAGUAGGUGAGUUGACACCAAGGGCAUGAGCCAGGCAUGGGAGAGCUGGGCCCGUCCCUCACCUGGACAAAGCUGGAGCCGUGGUGCUGGUGGCACAGGCAGAGGCAAGCAGGCAGCCUGACCAACUCAGCUAUCAUGCAGGCCCAGCUUCAGGGUUGAGUUGGCCCACCCGUGCAGAACCAAAGAUGCAGGGUCUCCAGGACACAGGCCAACAACAGGAUAUUUGAGAGGAGUCCUCGUGUGGCUCCAGUGUUGACAGUGUGGCAGAAAGCAGAGGCUUUGAACUAGACCAACAAUUCACCUAUUGCAAUGAGCAUUUAUAAUCAAGGCUGUUUGGGUAAAGGGUAGAGUGGGUGACACACAAUCGUACACCACAGCUUUCACUGCAA